AGCGAACGCUGGCGGCGUGCCUAACACAUGCAAGUCGAACGGUUCUGUUGGGGGCUUGCUCUCGACAGAGUAGUGGCAAACGGGUGAGUAACACGUGGGUAAUCUUCCUUCGAGUGAGGAAUAACUUCGGGAAACCGGAGCUAAUACCGCAUAACAUCUUGGAACGGCAGUUCUAAGAUCAAAGGGGGCGCAAGCUCCCGCUUGAAGUUGAGCUCGCGUCCUAUCAGCUAGUUGGUGAGGUAAUGGCUCACCAAGGCUCCGACGGGUAGCCGGCCUGAGAGGGUGGCCGGCCACACUGGGACUGAGACACGGCCCAGACUCCUACGGGAGGCAGCAGUGGGGAAUAUUGCGCAAUGGACGAAAGUCUGACGCAGCGACGCCGCGUGGGUGAUGAAGGCCUUCGGGUCGUAAAGCCCUGUUGAGGGAGAGAAAGCUACUGUCGGUUAAUACCCGGCAGUGGUGAUAGUAUCCCUAGAGAAAGCACCGGCUAACUACGUGCCAGC
rnacentral:rRNA from 1 species